AUUGAACGCUGGCGGCAGGCUUAACACGUGCAAGUCGAGCGGGGGCUUCGGUCCUAGCGGCGAACGGGUGAGGAAUGCUUGGGAAUCUGCCCAGUAGCGGGGGAUAACGUUUCGAAAGGAACGCUAAUACCGCAUACGCCCUACGGGGGAAAGGGGGGGAUCUUCGGACCUCUCACUAUUGGAUGAGCCCAAGUCGGAUUAGCUAGUUGGUGGGGUAAAGGCCUACCAAGGCGACGAUCCGUAGCUGGUCUGAGAGGAUGAUCAGCCACACUGGAACUGAGACACGGUCCAGACUCCUACGGGAGGCAGCAGUGGGGAAUAUUGGACAAUGGGCGAAAGCCUGAUCCAGCCAUGCCGCGUGUGUGAAGAAGGCCUUCGGGUUGUAAAGCACUUUAAGCGAGGAGGAAUGGCUGAGGGUUAAUAACCUUCAGCAGUGACGUUACUCGCAGAAUAAGCACCGGCUAACUCUGUGCCAGCAGCCGCUGUAA
rnacentral:rRNA from 1 species